rnacentral:rRNA from 1 species
UACGUAGGGCGCAAGCGUUAUCCGGAAUUAUUGGGCGUAAAGAGCUCGUAGGCGGUUUGUCGCGUCUGCCGUGAAAGUCCGGGGCUCAACUCCGGAUCUGCGGUGGGUACGGGCAGACUAGAGUGAUGUAGGGGAGACUGGAACUCCUGGUGUAGCGGUGAAAUGCGCAGAUAUCAGGAGGAACACCGAUGGCGAAGGCAGGUCUCUGGGCCGAUAUUGACGCUGAGGAGCGAAAGCGUGGGGAGCGAACAGG